rnacentral:rRNA from 1 species
UACGUAGGGCGCAAGCGUUGUCCGGAAUUAUUGGGCGUAAAGAGCUCGUAGGCGGCUUGUCACGUCGGGUGUGAAAGCCCGGGGCUUAACCCCGGGUCUGCAUUCGAUACGGGCAGGCUAGAGUGUGGUAGGGGAGAUCGGAAUUCCUGGUGUAGCGGUGAAAUGCGCAGAUAUCAGGAGGAACACCGGUGGCGAAGGCGGAUCUCUGGGCAUUACCUGACGCUGAGGAGCGAAAGCAUGGGGAGCGAACAGG